UGAGCCGAUAGCCUGUCCCAAAAUGGCAGCUGACCCAUGGUCUGGUCCAAAAUGGCGGACUCCAUGGAUAAAAUGGAUUUAAAAAGCAGCUAAGCCCACGCUGGAUCCCAAGGGGACAGAAGGGGCUCGAGGUCAGGAAUUCAUCCAGAAGAACAUGUUCUCUGCCUGCAGCAGCUCCCAUUAAGAUUCACCAGCCCCAGGGAAACGGGCAAAAUCCACGUGGAAUCAGGUGCCGUGAGGUCUGUAAACCACAGUGCUCCUCCUGAGGAAAACUGCUCUUGAACUACAAAAACAAUUUAAGGCAAGUACAGAAUUGAGUAGGAUUUGGUGCCUCAAGUGAGCCAGAGCCGUCCCACGCAUUACAAUCCAACCACACAACUUUCUAGGUACAUUUUAGCUACGUGAUAAAUGCUGUUAAAGCAGAAAUCUGUGGUUCAACAGAUUUUAACAGUCUGCUAUCAAUACAAGUGAAAACAGGUAGGAGAUAAAAGCUGAGAGCCAGCUUAGCUCUCAACAGCCACUGAGAGGUAAACCCAAAGUAAAAAUUACUUUGAUCUCAACCACCACUUUACAAGUCAAUGAGGAAAAUAAGAAUGCAGUAACCUAUAGUGUUUAUUUCAUGUUUUUGAAAUAAUUAUAUAUAAUAUAUAUACUUAUAUAUAUAAAUAUAACAAUUAUAUUUUUAUUACUAACUGCAUAACUAGCUACGUUUUUGUUUAGAAGAACAAACUAUAAACUCAUCUCUAAAGAAAAUAUAUAUAAUUUUUUUUAUUUAAAAACCAUCACACAUUCACCUUGUCCAUAGUAUUUCACAAGGAAGAAAAACAAUACAGAUUAACAGUGAGUGUGGCGUGGCAUGGGUAAUAUCACUUGCUAAAUAGGAUUAUCAGGCUAUAUUAAGUUUAAAACUAAGUUCAAACUAUAUUAAGUUUAAAAACUCAGUAGCUGACUUUUUAUAUCAGCUGAUACAUCCAGUUCAAGAGGUCGUGUUCUGUAACCAACAGAGGGUCUGUGAAAACAGCAAAUGAGUAAAACAUGACAAUGAAAGAAGCCACCCGUGCACGUUAAUCACCUUGUGAGCCCACGGCACCGACGCUGCAGUUGCGCAGAGCCAGGGACACGCAGACCCACAUGGGGAUCUGCACCCACACCAGCAAGGUGGCUUUGAAGGGGUGGCAGUUGUCCCGAAUGUACAGCUCUGUAACAAUCCUCCGCAGGUUCUUCUUGAAGUGGAACCUUCGAGAGAGAGAAAAACAACAGCUCAGAGCUUUAAAACAGAUAAAGGCUGAAAGGGAAAAGAGCAAACGAAUCGUAGGAGGGGAAAGAAAACCUAAGCUUUGGGCACGAUGGCAGAAUCUUUGUGGGCUGUUCCCUCCUGCCACCCCUCGCUCUGGAAUGGGUUUGUGAGCUGUGUACAAUCCCCCUCGUACCUGGCCACCUUUUCAGACCAGCCCAGCUGCUUUCCUCGCACUGAAACCUCAUAGCGAAGGCGCUCGGCGAGUCCUUUAAUCUCAGGCUGCAAGUUUUCCAGCUAGCUAAAGAAAACGAGAAAUGUUUGGGCAAAGUUGCAGGCAACAACCCCUUCUUCUUCCCUCCUUUGUUAUUAAUUAUCCCUAUGUAAUUAAAAACCUGUACAGACAUUAACCGUAUUCAUUGUCACUCUAUAAUGUAACUUAACAACUGUACAGAUAUUAAACAUAUUAAUUACCA